rnacentral:rRNA from 1 species
AAAUAAUUUAUAUGAAAUGAAGCGGUGUAACUUGGGCCUCUUAAAUUAAAGAAUUUAUAUUACAAUAAUAAAGAAUUUUGUUCCAUUCAAAUUGCAAAUUUGAUAAAUUACACGAAAUUGUUAAAUAUUAGCAUAAAGUUAGUUGAAAAUUUUGCAUAUACAAAGAGUAAUGCAUGGUAUUAAUUAAUUUUAAAAUUAUUGGAAAUUUUUAAUAGACUAAGAAUGUGCCAGCAGUCGCGGUUAUGCAUUCUAUUGUUAAUAUGUUAAAGUACGGAUUAAAAAUUUAGGGUAAAAUCUUGAAAAUUUUUAAUCUUUAUAUUAUAAGGUAGAAACGAGGAUUAGAUACCCUUUUAUUCAAUAUUACUUACAUUAGUAAAUAAAAAAUUUUUGAUUGUGAAGAUUUUUUGAAGGAAUUUGUUUUAAGAAAUUACUCUUUAAGAAUAAGUUUAUUUUAGGUAUAUUGCUGUAAUUUUAUUAAAUUUUAAGAUUAUAAUAAGAAAUAAUGAUAAUUUAGUCAAGUCAUAAUGCUGAAAAUUAAUGUAAUUAAUUAGUUAUAAAAAUUUUUUUAUGGAAUAUAAUUUGAUUAUAAAUUAAGAUUCAAAAUUAAUUUGAUUAUUUUAAAAUUAAAUGAAAAUUUUAUUCUUCAUGUACAAAUUGCCCGUCACUUUCACUAAAAUGAAUUAAGUCGUAACAAAGUAGUUUUAUUGGAAAAUAUUUAGUUUGGC